CGGCAGACGCGACCCCCGGCGGCUCCCGGACGGGCGGGCUCACGCCCCGCCCUGCUCCGCCCAACGGCCGCCCCAGCGCCUACGCGUCUCGGCGCCGCGUCACGAGCACUGUAAGAAAGUUCUGUAGAAGAGGAUUGACCGCCUUUCCGCCUUAGCAAAAGAAGCUGCAUGCCCCUAAGCACAGAGGAGAUGGAAAUAGAUCUGUUUUAUCCCACGCAGCAGUAUUUAAGCUUGCUCAUCCAAAAAAUCGCGCUGUCAGCAGCUUUGGCAUCCUGGAACAACAGCUCAGAGGUAUGAUAUGUCAUGUUGUCUGAAAAUGUUAAAACAAAACUUUGGUCAUUUAGGUUGUAGUAUAAACUAUUUUAGUACUAUUAGAGUUAGUAGAAAUACGAAGGUAAAUUCUUAGUAGGCGUUUUGCUAGAUUCUAAAAAGAAGUUCAUUAAUUCCAUUACAGCUUACUUCUUUCAAAGGCUGCUAAAGUUGUGAAUAAGGUACUGAUCCUCCCACCCCUAAAACUGAAAAUUGCCUUUGUCUGAGCUUGAAAAUUAAGUCUAAAAAAGAUAAGUCUUCUAGUAUGAAACUUCAACUGAAUCUGGAAUAUUGGAAAAGAUAUUUUUGAGAUCUUCUGUGUGAUGAAAGUCACAAGCAGCCCCUAAUUCAAAGAGAAUGUAUACACAACUUUCUGAUGCAAGUUCUUUAAGUAUGUCUAAUAAAAUGAAAAUGUAGUAUUUUAGUAUUCA
rnacentral:lncRNA from 1 species